rnacentral:rRNA from 1 species
UACGUAGGUGGCAAGCGUUGUCCGGAUUUACUGGGCGUAAAGAGCGCGCAGGCGGUCGGAUUAGUCGCGUGUGAAAGCCCCCGGCUCAACUGGGGAGGGUCACGCGAUACUGUUCGACUCGAAGGCAGGAGAGGGAAGUGGAAUUCCCGGUGUAGUGGUGAAAUGCGUAGAUAUCGGGAGGAACACCAGUGGCGAAGGCGACUUCCUGGCCUGUUCUUGACGCUGAGGCGCGAAAGCUAGGGUAGCAAACAGG